GAUGAACGCUGGCGGCGUGCCUAAUACAUGCAAGUCGAGCGAACAGACGAGGAGCUUGCUCCUCUGACGUUAGCGGCGGAAGGGUGAGUAACACGUGGAUAACCUACCUAUAAGACUGGGAUAACUUCGGGAAACCGGAGCUAAUACCGGAUAAUAUAUUGAACCGCAUGGUUCAAUAGUGAAAGACGGUUUUGCUGUCACUUAUAGAUGGAUCCGCGCCGCAUUAGCUAGUUGGUAAGGUAACGGCUUACCAAGGCAACGAUGCGUAGCAGACCUGAGAGGGUGAUCGGCCACACUGGAACUGAGACACGGUCCAGACUCCUACGGGAGGCAGCAGUAGGGAAUCUUCCGCAAUGGGCGAAAGCCUGACGGAGCAACGCCGCGUGAGUGAUGAAGGUCUUCGGAUCGUAAAACUCUGUUAUUAGGGAAGAACAAAUGUGUAAGUAACUAUGCACGUCUUGACGGUACCUAAUCAGAAAGCCACGGCUAACUACGUG
rnacentral:rRNA from 1 species